rnacentral:misc_RNA from 1 species
CGGUAACAGGGUGAAACAAAUAUCGCAAUGUCACGUGAUCAUGUAUAUGUCUAAAUAUGGAAGGCCACUCUCGUUCUAGAAACAGUUCGUGGCGGGCAAAAACAGUUCUCCGAUACUUUUGCUGGCAUCUAUAUUUGGGAUGACGGACCACCUCAGAAAGAAGAUCCAUUCUAUGAAUCGUAUGAGAACCACAAUCUGAUUGGGGUAGCUAAUGUGUUUCUGGACUGUCUUUUUUAUGAUGUUAAACUGGACUAUCAAGUACCAAUCAUCAGUCAGCAGGGAGAGGUUGCCGGCAAACUACAUAUGGAGAUAUCUAAGCUGGGCAGCGGGAUCAUGGAUCGUUAUGCAGACAUAAAUGAUGAUAGUGACGAUGAGGAAGGCAAUGAAGAUGAUGCUGAUCAAUCAAUGUCAGUAUAGGAGCACCGCUUAUAAUCAGAGUAAAGAUUUGUGAAGCGAAAGGCCUGCCAAAGGAUCUAUAAAAUUUUGUGUUCUGCCAGUACUCUUUCUGGGGUCAUGAUGACCCCAUCUCUGUCCCACCAGAGAUACACCCAGACACUAGUAAAAAGGACACCAAAUGUAUCAAGUUUAACCAUGAAAGGGAUUUUAAAGUGUACAUGUCAGAAGAGUUCAUUGAGCAUGCCCAGGAAGGGGCAUUAUCUAUCGAGGUCUGGGGACAUAAAGUUGUUGGGUUUGGUCAGCAGAACUCCCAGGCAGACAGUGUGGCUAGAUCCAACUCUCUUGU